rnacentral:rRNA from 1 species
GUCCACGCCGUAAACGAUGAUAACUAGCUGUCCGGGCUCAUGGAGUUUGGGUGGCGCAGCUAACGCAUUAAGUUAUCCGCCUGGGGAGUACGGUCGCAAGAUUAAAACUCAAAGGAAUUGACGGGGGCCUGCACAAGCGGUGGAGCAUGUGGUUUAAUUCGAAGCAACGCGCAGAACCUUACCAGCCUUUGACAUCCCGGUCGCGGAUUAGAGAGAUCUUUUCCUCAGUUCGGCUGGACCGGUGACAGGUGCUGCAUGGCUGUCGU